rnacentral:snRNA from 1 species
GUGCUCGCUUCAGCAGCACAUAUACUAAAAUUGGAACAAUACAGAAAAGGUUAGCAUGGCCCCUGUGCAAGGAUGACAUGCGAAUUCAUGAAGCAUUUCCUAUUAAA